rnacentral:rRNA from 1 species
AUGACUGGUGACAAGAAUCUAUUAAUGGAUGCUCCCUUAUCACCAUCACAUCUGAAGCAUAUCAUCUUCGCUGACAAAGGCAAAAGUCAGGUAUUGGGUCUAGGUAAGGUUGCGAUCACAAAGGAUCGACACAUGGACAAAGGCAUGCUUGUCGAGUCCUUGGGAUACAACCUCAUGUCUGUCUCAAUGCUUUGCGAUCUCGAUAUGGUUAUUGUCUUUGGUAAGUAUCGUUAUGUUGUGGUUAUGGAAGCUGACAAUUCCAAAGUCUUCGAAGGCUUUAGGAGAGGAGACUUGUAUAUUGUUGAUUUCUCUACAGGACUGCAACCAGCCGUGUGCCUACUUGCAAAAGCUUCAGAAGGCUGGCUCUGGCAUCGACGACUUGGUCAUGCAGGCAUAAGGAAUUUGCACACGCUUGCGAAGAAGAAGCAUGUCAUUGGCAUUGAGAAUGUCAAAUUCCUCAAGGAUCACUUAUGCGGAGCCUGUGAAGCUGGAAAGAUGACCAAGGCCAAGCAUCCAGCGAAGACUAUCAUGACCACUACUCGUCCAUUUGAAUUGCUUCAUAUGGAUCUCUUCGGUCCUAACCAUUAUUCUGCAGUUUCAAAUGAUGCAUCUCAAUAUGGCUUUGUUAUUGUUGAUGAUUACUCUCGUUACACAUGGGUACACACUGUUACUUACAAACAUGAAAUGCAGGAAGUCUUCAAACGAUUUUCCUCCAGGGCUUCAACCAACUUUGGUGUGAAGAUCAAGCACAUCAAAAGUGACAAUGGAACUGAGUUCAAGAAUUCUGGUCUUGAUGACUAUCUUGAUGAACUUGGUAUUACUCAUGAGUUAUAUGCUCCUUAUACUCCUCAACAGAAUGGCGUCAUGGAGCGCAAGAACAAGACUCUUGCGGAGAUGGCUCGCACUAUGCUUGAUGAAUACAAAAUGCCUCGUCGUUUUUGGAUUGAUGCAAUUGAUACUGCGUGUCACAUCAUCAACAGAGUAUAUCUUCACAAAUUCUUCAAGAAGACUGCCUAUGAACUCCUCACUGACAGGAAACCCAAAUGUGAGUUAUUUCAAAGUCUUCGGUGCUAA